rnacentral:rRNA from 1 species
UGCCUUAGUAACGGCGAGUGAAGCGGCAAAAGCUCAAAUUUGAAAUCUAGUACCUUCGGUGCUCGAGUUGUAAUUUGUAGAGGGAUACUUUGGGGCCGUUCCUUGUCUAUGUUCCUUGGAACAGGACGUCAUAGAGGGUGAGAAUCCCGUGUGGCGAGGAGUGCGGUUCUAUGUAAAGUGCCUUCGAAGAGUCGAGUUGUUUGGGAAUGCAGCUCUAAGUGGGUGGUAAAUUCCAUCUAAAGCUAAAUAUUGGCGAGAGACCGAUAGCGAACAAGUACAGUGAUGGAAAGAUGAAAAGAACUUUGAAAAGAGAGUGAAAAAGUACGUGAAAUUGUUGAAAGGGAAGGGCAUUUGAUCAGACAUGGUGUUUUGCGCCCUCUGCUCCUUGUGGGUGGGGGAAUCUCGCAGCUCACUGGGCCAACAUCAGUUUUGGUGGUCGGAUAAAUCCGUA